rnacentral:rRNA from 1 species
GGUUAAGCGACUAAGCGUACACGGUGGAUGCCCUGGCAGUCAGAGGCGAUGAAGGACGUGCUAAUCUGCGAAAAGCGUCGGUAAGGUGAUAUGAACCGUUAUAACCGGCGAUGUCCGAAUGGGGAAACCCAGUGUGAUUCGUCACACUAUCGUUAACUGAAUACAUAGGUUAACGAGGCGAACCGGGGGAACUGAAACAUCUAAGUACCCCGAGGAAAAGAAAUCAACCGAGAUUCCCCCAGUAGCGGCGAGCGAACGGGGAGCAGCCCAGAGUCUGAAUCAGCUUGUGUGUUAGUGGAACGGUCUGGAAAGUCCGACGGUACAGGGUGAUAGUCCCGUACACCAAAAUGCACAGGCUGUGAACUCGAAGAGUAGGGCGGGACACGUGGUAUCCUGUCUGAAUAUGGGGGGACCAUCCUCCAAGGCUAAAUACUCCUGACUGACCGAUAGUGAACCAGUACCGUGAGGGAAAGGCGAAAAGAACCCCGGCGAGGGGAGUGAAAAAGAACCUGAAACCGUGUACGUACAAGCAGUGGGAGCACCUUCGGGUGUGACUGCGUACCUUUUGUAUAAUGGGUCAGCGACUUAUAUUCUGUAGCAAGGUUAACCGUAUAGGGGAGCCGCAGGGAAACCGAGUCUUAACUGGGCGUUAAGUUGCAGGGUAUAGACCCGAAACCCGGUGAUCUAGCCAUGGGCAGGUUGAAGGUUGGGUAACACUAACUGGAGGACCGAACCGACUAAUGUUGAAAAAUUAGCGGAUGACUUGUGGCUGGGGGUGAAAGGCCAAUCAAACCGGGAGAUAGCUGGUUCUCCCCGAAAGCUAUUUAGGUAGCGCCUCGUGAAUUCAUCUUCGGGGGUAGAGCACUGUUUCGGCUAGGGGGUCAUCCCGACUUACCAACCCGAUGCAAACUACGAAUACCGAAGAAUGUUAUCACGGGAGACACACGGCGGGUGCUAACGUCCGUCGUGAAGAGGGAAACAACCCAGACCGCCAGCUAAGGUCCCAAAGUCAUGGUUAAGUGGGAAACGAUGUGGGAAGGCACAGACAGCCAGGAUGUUGGCUUAGAAGCAGCCAUCAUUUAAAGAAAGCGUAAUAGCUCACUGGUCGAGUCGGCCUGCGCGGAAGAUGUAACGGGGCUAAACCAUGCACCGAAGCUGCGGCAGCGACACUAUGUGUUGUUGGGUAGGGGAGCGUUCUGUAAGCCUGCGAAGGUGACCUGUGAGGGUUGCUGGAGGUAUCAGAAGUGCGAAUGCUGACAUAAGUAACGAUAAAGCGGGUGAAAAGCCCGCUCGCCGGAAGACCAAGGGUUCCUGUCCAACGUUAAUCGGGGCAGGGUGAGUCGACCCCUAAGGCGAGGCCGAAAGGCGUAGUCGAUGGGAAACAGGUUAAUAUUCCUGUACUUGGUGUUACUGCGAAGGGGGACGGAGAAGGCUAUGUUAGCCGGGCGACGGUUGUCCCGGUUUAAGCAUGUAGGCUGGUUAUCCAGGCAAAUCCGGAUAAUCAAGGCUGAGGUGUGAUGACGAGGCACUACGGUGCUGAAGUAACAAAUGCCCUGCUUCCAGGAAAAGCCUCUAAGCAUCAGGUAACAUUAAAUCGUACCCCAAACCGACACAGGUGGUCAGGUAGAGAAUACCAAGGCGCUUGAGAGAACUCGGGUGAAGGAACUAGGCAAAAUGGUGCCGUAACUUCGGGAGAAGGCACGCUGGUGUGUAGGUGAAGUCCCUGCGGAUGGAGCUGAGACCAGUCGAAGAUACCAGCUGGCUGCAACUGUUUAUUAAAAACACAGCACUGUGCAAACACGAAAGUGGACGUAUACGGUGUGACGCCUGCCCGGUGCCGGAAGGUUAAUUGAUGGGGUUAUCCGUAAGGAGAAGCUCUUGAUCGAAGCCCCGGUAAACGGCGGCCGUAACUAUAACGGUCCUAAGGUAGCGAAAUUCCUUGUCGGGUAAGUUCCGACCUGCACGAAUGGCGUAAUGAUGGCCAGGCUGUCUCCACCCGAGACUCAGUGAAAUUGAACUCGCUGUGAAGAUGCAGUGUACCCGCGGCAAGACGGAAAGACCCCGUGAACCUUUACUAUAGCUUGACACUGAACAUUGAGCCUUGAUGUGUAGGAUAGGUGGGAGGCUUUGAAGCGUGGACGCCAGUCUGCGUGGAGCCAACCUUGAAAUACCACCCUUUAAUGUUUGAUGUUCUAACGUUGGCCCCUGACCGGGGUUGCGGACAGUGUCUGGUGGGUAGUUUGACUGGGGCGGUCUCCUCCCAAAGCGUAACGGAGGAGCACGAAGGUUAGCUAAUCCUGGUCGGACAUCAGGAGGUUAGUGCAAUGGCAUAAGCUAGCUUGACUGCGAGCGUGACGGCGCGAGCAGGUGCGAAAGCAGGUCAUAGUGAUCCGGUGGUUCUGAAUGGAAGGGCCAUCGCUCAACGGAUAAAAGGUACUCCGGGGAUAACAGGCUGAUACCGCCCAAGAGUUCAUAUCGACGGCGGUGUUUGGCACCUCGAUGUCGGCUCAUCACAUCCUGGGGCUGAAGUAGGUCCCAAGGGUAUGGCUGUUCGCCAUUUAAAGUGGUACGCGAGCUGGGUUUAGAACGUCGUGAGACAGUUCGGUCCCUAUCUGCCGUGGGCGCUGGAGAAUUGAGGGGGCUGCUCCUAGUACGAGAGGACCGGAGUGGACGCAUCACUGGUGUUCGGGUUGUCAUGCCAAUGGCACUGCCCGGUAGCUAAAUGCGGAAGAGAUAAGUGCUGAAAGCAUCUAAGCACGAAACUUGCCCCGAGAUGAGUUCUCCCUGAGACUUUAAGUCUCCUGAAGGAACGUUGAAGACGACGACGUUGAUAGGCCGGGUGUGUAAGCGCAGCGAUGCGUUGAGCUAACCGGUACUAAUGAACCGUGAGGCUUAACCUU